rnacentral:rRNA from 1 species
AGGGCGCAUGGUGAAUGCCUAGGCACUAGAAGCCGAUGAAGGACGUGACGAACCACGAAAGGCUUCGGGGAGCAGUAAGUAAGCGAUGAUCCGGAGAUAUCCGAAUGGGGGAACCCAAUACCGCGAGGUAUUAUCAAGAGCUGUUAAGGCUGUUGAAGGAAGACGCAGUGAACUGAAACAUCUAAGUAGCUGCAGGAAGAGAAAGAAAAAUCGAUUUCCCAAGUAGCGGCGAGCGAACAGGAAAGAGCCCAAACCAGCUGGCUUGCCAGUUGGGGUAGUAGGACUGCAAUAAAGUACUUGAAGCGAUAGCAGAAUUAUCUGGAAAGAUAAGCCAGAGAGGGUGAGAGCCCCGUAAGCGAAAUUGCAGAGAGACUUAGCAGGAUCCUGAGUAGGUCGGGACACGAGGAAUCCCGAUUGAAACCGCGAGGACCAUCUCGCAAGGCUAAAUACUAACUAGUGACCGAUAGUGAACCAGUACCGUGAGGGAAAGGUGAAAAGAACCCCGGAAGGGGAGUGAAAGAGAACCUGAAACCGUGUGCCUACAAGUAGUCAAAGCACAUUAAAGUGUAAUGGCGUGCCUUUUGUAGAAUGAACCGGCGAGUUACGUUAUGGUGCAAGGUUAAGUCAGAAAAGACGGAGCCGGAGCGAAAGCGAGUCUGAAGAGGGCGAGAGAGUAUCAUGACGUAGACCCGAAACCAAGUGACCUACCCAUGACCAGGUUGAAGGCGUGGUAAAACACGCUGGAGGACCGAACCCACGUGAGUUAAAAAUCGCGGGGAUGAGUUGUGGGUAGCGGUGAAAUUCCAAACGAACUUGGAGAUAGCUGGUUCUCUCCGAAAUAGCUUUAGGGCUAGCCUCGUGUGAAUGAUAAUGGAGGUAGAGCGCUGUUUGGACUAGGGGCCCGUCAGGGGUUACUGAAUCCAGAUAAACUCCGAAUGCCAGAUAUCAAUGCACGGGAGUCAGACUGCGAGUGAUAAGAUCCGUAGUCGAAAGGGAAACAGCCCAGAUCACCAGUUAAGGUCCCCAAAUCUAUGCUAAGUGGAAAAGGAUGUGGAGUUGCGUAGACAACUAGGAUGUUGGCUUAGAAGCAGCCACCAUUUAAAGAGUGCGUAAUAGCUCACUAGUCGAGUGACGCUGCGCCGAAAAUGUACCGGGGCUAAGCAUAGUACCGAAACUGUGGAUGCAUAUCAAAGGAUAUGCGUGGUAGGAGAGCGUUCUAAGUGCGGAGAAGUUAGAUCGAGAGGACUAAUGGAGCGCUUAGAAGUGAGAAUGCCGGUAUGAGUAGCGAAAGAUAGGUGAGAAUCCUAUCCGCCGAAAGACUAAGGUUUCCUGGGGCAGGCUCGUCCGCCCAGGGUAAGUCGGGACCUAAGGUAAGGCCGAGAGGCGUAGCCGAUGGACAACAGGUAGAGAUUCCUGUACUGAAAUUGUUCGAUAAGAGCAAAGGAGGGACGCAGGAGGCUAAUGACGCAUGUAGCUGGAAAAACAUGUGCAAGCAGUAAGAAAAAACAUGAGUCAAAUGCUUAUGUUUAGAUUUCAAGCUGUGACGCGGAGUGAAAUCAAAGUAGCGAAGGUCAUGAUGUCACACUGCCAAGAAAAGCUUCUAGCCAGAGCAAUUUUACCCGUACCGCAAACCGACACAGGUAGUCGAGUGGAGAACACUCAGGUGAGCGAGAGAACUCUCGUUAAGGAACUCGGCAAAAUGACCCCGUAACUUCGGGAGAAGGGGUGCUGAUGGUAAAAGAUCAGCCGCAGUGAAUAGGCCCAAACAACUGUUUAUCAAAAACACAGGUAUCUGCAAAAUCGUAAGAUGACGUAUAGGUGCUGACACCUGCCCGGUGCUGGAAGGUUAAGAGGAGAGCUUAGCGCAAGCGAAGGUUUGAAUUGAAGCCCCAGUAAACGGCGGCCGUAACUAUAACGGUCCUAAGGUAGCGAAAUUCCUUGUCGGGUAAGUUCCGACCUGCACGAAAGGUGUAAUGAUUUGGGCACUGUCUCAACGAGAGACUCGGUGAAAUUAUAAUACCCGUGAAGAUGCGGGUUACCCGCGACAGGACGGAAAGACCCCAUGGAGCUUUACUGUAGCUUGAUAUUGAGUAUUUGUUAAACAUGUACAGGAUAGGUAGGAGCCAGAGAAAGUAGGACGCUAGUCUUACUGGAGGCAAUGUUGGGAUACUACCCUUGUUUGAUGGAUCCUCUAACUCGCAGAGCUGAGCGUUCUGGAGGACAGUGUCAGGUGGGCAGUUUGACUGGGGCGGUCGCCUCCUAAAAUGUAACGGAGGCGCCCAAAGGUUCCCUCAGAAUGGUUGGAAAUCAUUCGCAGAGU